AUUGAACGCUGGCGGCAGGCCUAACACAUGCAAGUCGAGCGAGCGGCGGACGGGUGAGUAAUGUAUGGGGACUGCCCGAUAGAGGGGGAUAACUACUGGAAACGGUGGCUAAAACCGCAUACUAUCGGAUAACCCAUAUGGGAUUAGCUAGUAGGUGGGGUAAAGGCUCACCUAGGCGACGACCUCUAGCUGGUCUGAGAGGAGGAUCGGCCACACUGGAACUGGGACACGGCCCGAACUCCUACGGAGGCAGCAGUGGGGAUUAUUGCACAAUGAGGACAAGCCGAAUGCAGCCAUGCCGCGUGUAGGAAGCAGGCCUUAGGGUUGUAAAGUACUUUCAGCGGGGAGGCGUUACCCGCAGAAGAAGCACCGGCUAACUCCGUGCCAGCAGCCGCGGUAAUUC
rnacentral:rRNA from 1 species